CAUGGCUUUCCUGAGAACGCUGUUGCUGCUCUACUGUACUGCCUUGGAGUGCCGCCGCAAAGGAGACACCUGGAGUGACGAUGAUUGAAGAGAACACCCUCCCUGUGGUAGUUUUGGACGUUCUCUGAGCCUUCCUUUUCUGUUGCUCCUCCUUGGCAUGUUUGCAACCCCGAUAAUUGGUGGGAUGCAGCUUUUCUCCUUCCGCUAAUCGGCAGUUGCAACAUACUCGGGUGGAGGCAGAGUUCUCCUUUUCUGGGCACUCCUUGUGUAGGUGGCCACCUCCGCACCACAAACAACGUGGGGGUUGCUUGCAGUUUGCCCAAACGUGGCCGAACUGCUGACAGUUAUAACAUUGGGAGGGGCGACUCUCGCAUCUCCCUGUGGAUGGCAGCAUAGAGGCGCAGCAUGACUGUAAAGAGAGCCUUACUGUCGGGGUGCUUACAGAGCACUGUCCUCUCGGCCUCGGAUUUCGUUAUUAGUUUAUUCCAUUAUUUCUUCCUGGCAGUCAGGAUUACUAUUUGUUAAGUUUACAUGGUUCCUCUCAAAGGAAGCCACGAUUGCCUUCAACCGCGUUUCACACAAGGUCGGCUCCGUCAUUUCGCCUGCUUGAUAGUCCGUUGCAGACGGGACGGCCCCCACCUCCGGUGCACUAGCCAUGCCAGUCACUGUAUAGUUUUUUGACUCUAUCCUAACUAUGGCUGAUGCACGAGGGCUCCCACACACAGACGCGAUACGAUUUGGGACGAUAUAGCACUCGGGACGAAAGCGGCUGUUUACCGAGUGGGCCGCGCACACAGACGCGACACUCGGAACUCGGGAAUCUUUGACACCCGAUAACCAGCUGGCCAUGACUCACACUCAAUCAGUAUCUAUACGUACGUGAAACGACAUGGGUAGCGAAAUGGAACAA